rnacentral:rRNA from 1 species
AUCUAUGGCCAUACCACCCUGAACACACCAGAUCUCAUCUGAUCUCAGAAGCUAAGCAGGGUCGGGCCUGCUUAGUACUUGGAUGAGAGAUAUGGCAGAUGUUACUAUGAUC